UAGAGGAAGGAGAAGUCGUAACAAGGUUUCCGUAGGUGAACCUGCGGAAGGAUCAUUGUCGAUACCUGCAAAGCAGACAGCGAACUCGUGUUUAACAACGACGGUGUUGCGGCGUGGGGGCGACCCCCGUCGUGCACCCGUCUCUCCCGCCGGCGUGUUUCCUAGCGUCACGUCGUGCGGGCUAACGAACCCCGGCGCGGAAUGCGCCAAGGAAUACUAAACGAAGCGUCCGACCUCCCGCACCCCGUUCGCGGACCGUGUGGGGGUGACCGGAUGUCUUACAAAUGUCAUAACGACUCUCGGCAACGGAUAUCUCGGCUCUCGCAUCGAUGAAGAACGUAGCGAAAUGCGAUACUUGGUGUGAAUUGCAGAAUCCCGUGAACCAUCGAGUCUUUGAACGCAAGUUGCGCCCGAAGCCAUUUGGUCGAGGGCACGUCUGCCUGGGCGUCACGCAUCGCGUCGCCCCCUUCCCCGCGCUCAGCGCUUGGAAGGGGAGCGGAUAUUGGCCUCCCRUGCGCCUCGGUGUGCGGCUGGCUCAAAUGCGAUCCCUCGGCGACUCGCGUCACGACAAGUGGUGGUUGAACAAUCAAUCUCUUGCGUCGUCGUGCCGCCGUGUCGUCAGCACGGGCAUCACAUAACGACCCUACGGUGAAGGUGCCUCACGGCUCCACACCUUCGACCGCGACCCCAGGUCAGGCGGGAUUACCCGCUGAGU
rnacentral:rRNA from 1 species